CUGCAACUCCCCCCGGGGCGGCACUUUAUUUGCAAAGCUGCGUAAUUGGUUUAAGCUUGUGGGGAAAGAAGGAGAGACAGAGAAACCAUGUGAGUCACAGUGCUGAGACAUAAUACUACAGGUUCCAAAUAAAUACGGACAGAGGCCUGAAUGCGGAUCCAUUGAUAUUAACCUCCACUUGGCAAACAUCAGAGAAAGAAUCUCCUGCCAGAUGCCCAGGAGCAGCAAUAAUAGGUAGUGGGUACCUCAUUUCCAACUUCUUGCUUAUUGACCUGAUUUCUCACAACGAACAGGGGAGGAGGC